rnacentral:misc_RNA from 1 species
GAUGAAGAACGUAGCGAAAUGCGAUAAGUAGUGUGAAUUGCAGAAUUCAGUGAAUCAUCGAAUCUUUGAACGCACAUUGCGCCCCUUGGUAUUCCAUGGGGCAUGCCUGUUCGAGCGUCAUUUGUACCUUCAAGCUUUGCUUGGUGUUGGGUGUUUGUCCCGAGGGACUCGCCUUAAAGUAAUUGGCAGCCAGUGUUUGGUUUUGAAGCGCAGCACAAGUCGCGAUUCAAGGCUACACGCCCGCUUCCACAUGCCUUUUUUCACUUUUGACCUCGGAUCAGGUAGGGAUACCCGCUGAACUUAAGCAUAUCAAUAAGCGGAGGA